CCUACGGGAGGCAGCAGUAGGGAAUCUUCCACAAUGGACGAAAGUCUGAUGGAGCAACGCCGCGUGAGUGAAGAAGGGUUUCGGCUCGUAAAGCUCUGUUGGUAGUGAAGAAAGAUAGAGGGAGUAACUGGCAUUUAUUUGACGGUAAUUACUUCGAAAGUCACGGCUAACUACGGACCAGCAGCCGCGGUAAUACGUAGGUGGCCAGCGUUGUCCGGAUUUAUUGGGCGUAAAGCGAGUGCAGGAGGUUCAAUAAGUCCGAUUUGAAAGCCUUCGGCUCAACCGGAGAAUUGCAUCAGAAACUGUUGAACUUGAGUGCAGAAGAGGAGAGUGGAACUCCAUGUGUAGCGGUGGAAUGCGUAGAUAUAUGGAAGACCACCAGUUGCGAAGGCGGCUCUCUGGUCUGCAACUGACGCUGAGGCUCGAAAGCAUGGGUAGCGAACAGGAUUAGAUACCCUAGUAGUC
rnacentral:rRNA from 1 species